GCUCUUAUGAAGUUAGCGGCGGACGGGUGAGUAACACGUGGGUAACCUGCCCAUAAGACUGGGAUAACUCCGGGAAACCGGGGCUAAUACCGGAUAACAUUUUGAACCGCAUGGUUCGAAAUUGAAAGGCGGCUUCGGCUGUCACUUAUGGAUGGACCCGCGUCGCAUUAGCUAGUUGGUGAGGUAACGGCUCACCAAGGCAACGAUGCGUAGCCGACCUGAGAGGGUGAUCGGCCACACUGGGACUGAGACACGGCCCAGACUCCUACGGGAGGCAGCAGUAGGGAAUCUUCCGCAAUGGACGAAAGUCUGACGGAGCAACGCCGCGUGAGUGAUGAAGGCUUUCGGGUCGUAAAACUCUGUUGUUAGGGAAGAACAAGUGCUAUUUGAAUAAGCUGGCACCUUGACGGUACCUAACCAGAAAGCCACGGCUAACUACGUGCCAGCAGCCGCGGUAAUACGUAGGUGGCAAGCGUUAUCCGGAAUUAUUGGGCGUAAAGCGCGCGCAGGUGGUUUCUUAAGUCUGAUGUGAAAGCCCACGGUUCAACCGUGGAGGGUCAUUGAAAACUGGGAGACUUGAGUGCAGAAGAGGAAAGUGGAAUUGCAUGUGUACCGGUGAAAUGCGUAGAGAUAUGGAGGAACACCAGUGGCGAAGGCGACUUUCUGGUCUGUAACUGACACUGA
rnacentral:rRNA from 1 species